CUGGAGCCCCAUAGAGGGUUGUAACAACGGGGCCACUCUCUCCAUUCACCGAGAGAGGGGAGAGCGGUGCUGGUGGAGGAGGCGAGGAGGUGGUGGUGUGGCGUGGGGGUGGCGGUGGUGGUGGUGGUGAGAAGGAGGGGUGGCAGAGGAGGGAGAGGAGAAAACGUGUAAUCACCCAAACAACCGUUUGUUCUUUCUUUCUUUCUUUCUUUUUUUUUUUUUUUUCCCCAUUUCACCCCCUCUGGAUCCGUGUCGCAAGCCUGCAGUCUGCCGUGAGUCUGUCUGUCUUUCAUUGCGGAUACCGUGACGGAAGGCCGGACCACCGGGAGGAAAACACCAAGAGGGGGAAGAUGGAAACUGGAUGCAUGAGGAGAAGCACGUCGACAACACAUCCUGAAGUUCAAUUUUUAUAGAGAUGAAAAAUGGCGUGCAGCUGGCCGAGCACUUGCUUCCUCUUGUGGGGGGUCAACAGUUCACGAUGCUGAUAGAGACUCUUACACCUUCUGUAAUAGCAGCGCUCCUACACUCACACAGGUUGCUCUGCUGCAUCGUUGGACAUCCAUCACUCCUACUUUUGUCUGGAUUUUCUCUCAUUACGUUACUCUGUCAUAGCAUUGGUCAUUGACUGCCUGUGCACACAGAUAAGGUUUUUUUUUGCUGAAAUUAUAAUCCAAAUAUCCCUCUGAAUUGAUUUUACAUUAACAACAACUAGCAAUAAAACUGUUGCAUAAUAAACUUUUUGACGUCUUUUUGGGAUUGGAUUGACAGCAGAGUUCAGCCUGGUCAGAUCUUGAGUGCACUCCAAAAAAGGUGCUAAUCAUAAUGCUGAGCUAGCCUUGUUGAGCUGCUAAUUACCUCCAUUAUGAAGAUGCAGGGGCCUGAUCACAGGCGCCUUGGUGUGUACGUGUGUACUUGUGUGUGUGUGUGUG
ensembl:lncRNA